rnacentral:rRNA from 1 species
AGAGUUUGAUCCUGGCUCAGAAUCAACGCUGGCGGCGUGCCUAACACAUGCAAGUCGAACGCGAAAGUCCCGCAAGGGAUCGGUAGAGUGGCAAACGGGUGAGUAACACGUGGGUGACCUGCCUUCGAGUGGGGGAUAACGUCCCGAAAGGGACGCUAAUACCGCAUAACAUGCCGCCUUUUAAGAGGUGGACAUCAAAGCUGGGGAUCGCAAGACCUAGCGCUGGAAGAGGGGCCCGCGUCCGAUUAGCUAGUUGGUGGGGUAAUGGCUCACCAAGGCAACGAUCGGUAGCCGGCCUGAGAGGGCGGACGGCCACACUGGGACUGAGACACGGCCCAGACUCCUACGGGAGGCAGCAGUGGGGAAUUGUUCGCAAUGGGCGCAAGCCUGACGACGCAACGCCGCGUGGAGGAUGAAGACCUUCGGGUCGUAAACUCCUUUCGAUCGAGACGAACGGCCUCCGGGUGAACAAUCCGGAGGAGUGACGUACCGAGAGAAGAG